AAAGAAGAAGAAGAGGCGUUGCAUUCAGAGAGAAGAGAGAUACUGAAGAAAGAGAGAGGCGGAGAACGAGAAAGCAGAAGAGAGGAGGGAAUAGUAAAGAAUUCAGGAAUAGCCUUUUUUUUUUUUGGUCUACGUAAACGUUAGGUUUUCCGUAGAUCAAGGAAAAGUCAACCGCUUUUACGUUGCAACAACACGAGGACAGAGAGAGGAGAGACGGCACGGAAGAGCUUCUCUUUGUACUUCAAAUAAGUGGAGACGCUACUGCUGGUUUGUAGGCUCUCCUAUACCUUUAUACGCUCUAUUCUAAUACCGUAAAUGAACAAUUAUAUAGGCUUUUUAUUUUAAUCUAUAUAUUUUUUUUAAAGUCAAUUUGAUUUGGAAACCACGAAGUGAACCUAAUGCCGUGUUCUUUUUUUGCAAGAAGGGAACAAUAGCAGUAAUCUAGCUGAAUUGUCUAGCUACUCUUUAUGAGAAUCACGGCUGUUUAGCGACCAACAAUACAAAACAAGGCGUCUGAAAUUCGCUCUACCACCACAACUUCCAGGAUCUUCUCCAUCGGACCGACCAUGGCUGCGGUUACCAGCCCAGAGACGAGCCCUCAACCCCGGGUAUAUUUCCAGACGGUAGCCUCCGGUUCAACCGAAGAACCGGAGAUACCUGUUCGGAAACAAGGGCGAGUAACCGUCAAAUAUGACCGGAAAGAACUAAGGAAGAGACUAAAUCUGGAGGAAUGGAUAAUCGACCAGCUAACGGCUCUUUACAACUGUGAGGAGGAGGCUAUACCAGAGUUGGAGAUAGAUGUGGAUGAGCUGCUGGACAUGCCUAGUGAUGAUGACAGAGGAGCCAGAGUUAAAGAUCUCCUGGUAGACUGUUACAAACCUACUGAGGACUUUGUGUCAGAUCUGCUGGAUAAGAUACGUGGCAUGCAGAAGCUCACCACCCCCCAGAAGAAAUAACCUCAACCCUGAGUCACCCCUCCUCUUCACCCCCUGCCUCCUCCCGCCUCCCUCCCUCACUCCAACCUCACCCCACAGAAGAAAUAGGAGCUUGGCUUCCUCAGAGAUGGAGGAGGAAGAGGGAGGAGAAAAAGAGGAGAGAAGGGGCAGAGGAGUAAGAGAGGUGAUUGAAGCAGCCAAUCACAUCUAAGCAGGGUGUAUGAUGUCCUGUGAUUUUUAUUUUAAUGUUUUAUUUAGUUUACAUUUAUUUAGAUUACAUUUUUUUAAAGGUGGUUUGUAUUGUUGUUAAAUGAUCAAGCGAUCGGUCAUAUUUCUCAUGUUAAUGAGUGAACAUAGCAUACUAUAUUGUAGCUGUAAGCCAAGCCCAGGAUAUAUUCUGAGUUUUAGUAGCCAAGCCAGGAUAUAUUCUGAGUUUUAGUAGCCAAGCCCAGGAUAUAUUCUGAGUUUUAGUAGCCAAGCCAGGAUAUAUUCUGAGUUUUAGUAGCCAAGCCCAGGAUGUAUUCUGAGUUUUAGUAGCCAAGCCCAGGAUAUAUUCUGAGUUUUAGUAGCCAAGCCCAGGAUGUAUUCUGAGUUUUAGUAGCCAAGCCCAGGAUAUAUUCUGAGUUUUAGUAGCCAAGCCCAGGAUAUAUUCUGAGUUUUAGUAGCCAAGCCCAGGAUAUAUUCUGAGUUUUAGUAGCCAAGCCAGGAUAUAUUCUGAGUUUUAGAAUGAGUCCCAAAAUGGCACGUUAUUUAUUACCUUCUAUAGUCCAUUACAUUUGACCAGGGCUCUGGUCCAAAGUAGUGGACUAGGUUUUAAGGGUGCCGUUUGGGGAUGGGAGAGACUCCUAUGUAUAGUACAGUGUGUGUGUGUGUGUGUGUGUGUGUGUGUGUGUGUGUGUGUGUAGUCUAGACCUCAGUGAAAACACAGACCGGGGGACUUGACAAAGUGACCUUUUUUUCCUCUUUAGUUCUAUCUCUUUAUCACUGUUUAUUGUUCUGUCAGAUAUUUCAUGUUCCAUAAUGUGCAGGUGUAAGGCCUUUGUCAGUGAGGACUCUUGUAGAGAGAUUUCAGGAGACGAGUAAACCAAUGAGGGAGGGAGGGAGGGACGGAGGGAGGCACUGGGUAGUGGAAAAUGUGUCGAUGUGUUCAUCCAGAUAGCCACACACACACCCAGGGAACAGCAGAAACACAGACCACAGCUGCUGCUCCUUCAUACUCUCACACAGAUGUGAACACUGGUACACACACACAUAAACACACACUGGCUCUCUCUCGUCAACACACACACGGGAAGGAGGGGGGGUAUAAUCAUUGAGAGAGGGAUAAAUGGAGAAAAAGAGGGAGAAUCAGAGGUCUUACUCUUCCUGGCUUGGCUGCCUCACAAGGCCUUAGUGUUGCCAAUCAUGCAGCUCUCUCACUCACCCCAUGUCUCUCUUUGGCCCUCACUCCUUCCUCUGUCUCCUUCCCUUUCUACUUCCAGCAAUCUACAGAUGACUCCAUCCCUCCCUCCAUCUCUCUCUCUCCUCUCCCUCCAUCUAUCCCUCUCGCUCUCUCCUUCCCUCCCUCCAUCUAUCCCUCUCGCUCUCUCCUUCCCUCCCUCCAUCUAUCCCUCUCGCUCUCUCCUUCCCUCCCUCCAUCUAUCCCUCUCGCUCCCUCCCUCCAUCCCACCAUCCCUCCCUCCUUCCCACCAUCCCACCCUCUCCCUCCUUCCCUUCCAUCUCUCUCUCCCUCCUUCCCUUCCAUCUCUCUCUCCCUCCUUCCCUUCCAUCUCUCUCUUCCUCCUUUCCUUCAUCCAGCUCUAUCCUUCCAUCCCUCCAUCUCUUGUUUAAUAACUGACGUUGCCUUAGGUCUAUAUUGAAGUUACAAACCAAAUAAAAGGAGACGUCCAUUUUUAACAACAAUUUUUAAACAAAAAAAAAUGAUCCUGUUGUUGUUUAGGAAGAGGUCAUCUAGAGGUCAUCUAGAGGUCAUCUAGAGGUCAUCUAGAGGUCAUCUAGACCUCUUUACGUUCUUUUAGAUGUGAAUAUCUAUUCUAGGUCAAUUAUUACUGUGUGUACUAUUAUAAUACCUGGUGCGCAUCCCAAAUGGAACCCUGUUCCCUAUAUAUAGGGAAUAGGGUGCCAGCCCUGGUCUAAAGUAGUGCCCUAUAUAGGGAAUAGGGUGCCAGCCCUGGUCUAUAGUAGUGCCCUAUAUAGGGAAUAGGGUGC
rnacentral:lncRNA from 1 species